rnacentral:rRNA from 1 species
GAUGAACGCUGGCGGCGUGCCUAAUACAUGCAAGUCGAGCGAACGGACGAGAAGCUUGCUUCUCUGAUGUUAGCGGCGGACGGGUGAGUAAAACGUGGAUAACCUACCUAUAAGACUGGGAUAACUUCGGGAAACCGGAGCUAAUACCGGAUAAUAUUUUGAACCGCAUGGUUCAAAAGUGAAAGACGGUCUUGCUGUCACUUAUAGAUGGAUCCGCGCUGCAUUAGCUAGUUGGUAAGGUAACGGCUUACCAAGGCAACGAUGCAUAGCCGACCUAAGAGGGUGAUCGGCCACACUGGAACUGAGACACGGUCCAGACUCCUACGGGAGGCAGCAGUAGGGAAUCUUCCGCAAUGGGCGAAAGCCUGACGGAGCAACGCCGCGUGAGUGAUGAAGGUCUUCGGAUCGUAAAACUCUGUUAUUAGGGAAGAACAUAUGUGUAAGUAACUGUGCACAUCUUGACGGUACCUAAUCAGAAAGCCACGGCUAACUACGUG